CCUACGGGAGGCAGCAGUGGGGAAUAUUGCACAAUGGGGGAAACCCUGAUGCAGCGACGCCGCGUGAGUGAAGAAGUAUCUCGGUACGUAAAGCUCUAUCAGCAGGGAAGAAAAUGACGGUACCUGACUAAGAAGCCCCGGCUAACUACGUGCCAGCAGCCGCGGUAAUACGUAGGGGGCAAGCGUUAUCCGGAUUUACUGGGUGUAAAGGGAGCGUAGACGGCAGCACAAGUCUGGAGUGAAAUCCCGGGGCUUAACCCCGGAACUGCUUUGGAAACUGUGCGGCUGGAGUGCAGGAGGGGUAAGCGGAAUUCCUAGUGUAGCGGUGAAAUGGGUAGAUAUUAGGAGGAAAACCGGUGGCGAAGGCGGCGUACUGGACUGUAACUGACGUUGAGGCUCGAAAGCGUGGGGAGCAAACAGGAUUAGAUACCCUAGUAUC
rnacentral:rRNA from 1 species